AAACAUCGCUCUUUGCCCAACUUAUAACAUAAAGAGUCGAGCCUGCCCAGUGAAAUUUUAACGGCCGCGGUACUCUGACCGUGCAAAGGUAGCAUAAUCAUUUGCCUUAUAAUUGAAGGCUAGUAUGAAUGGUUUGACGAAAGCAGAUCUGUCUCCUUUUUAUUUUAUAGAAUUUGACCUUCAGGUGAAGAGGCCUGAAUAAUAUUGAAGGACAAGAAGACCCUGUCGAGCUUAAAAGAUAUUUACAGAAGUUAAUAUAUUUUUAAAUAAAUAACCUGUUAAGCUUUUUAGUUGGGGCGACUGAGGAACAAAAAAAGCUUCUUAAAAACCAUAAACUAACAAGUUUAGAUCCAGCAAUAGUCUAUUAAAGAAAUUAGUUACCGCAGGGAUAACAGCAUAAUCUCUCUUGAGAGACCUAAUCGAAAGAGGGGGUUGUGACCUCGAUGUUGGACUAGAAUAUCCUAAAGAUGCAGAAGUCUUUAAGGGUUGGUCUGUUCGACCAUUAAAAUUCU
rnacentral:rRNA from 1 species